rnacentral:rRNA from 1 species
CCUACGGGAGGCUGCAGUGGGGAAUAUUGCACAAUGGGGGAAACCCUGAUGCAGCGACGCCGCGUGAGUGAAGAAGUAAUUCGUUACGUAAAGCUCUAUCAGCAGGGAAGAAACACUGACCUUACGGUCAGCAGACGGUACCUGAGUAAGAAGCCCCGGCUAACUACGUGCCAGCAGCCGCGGUAAUACGUAGGGGGCAAGCGUUAUCCGGAUUUACUGGGUGUAAAGGGAGCGUAGACGGCAGCGCAAGUCUGAAGUGAAAUGCCGGGGCUUAACCCCGGAACUGCUUUGGAAACUGUGCAGCUAGAGUGCAGGAGAGGUAAGUGGAAUUCCUAGUGGAGCGGUGAAAUGCGUAGAUAUUAGGAGGAACACCAGUGGCGAAGGCGGCUUACUGGACUGUAACUGACGUUGAGGCUCGAAAGCGUGGGGAGCAAACAGGAUUAGAUACCCUUGUAGUC